rnacentral:lncRNA from 1 species
UGCAGGCUUGUCUGAAGGACGAGGGGUCCUUGGGACUCUCGUAGCUAGAAGAGAGAAAAAGGGGAUCCUGAGAGAAAAAUCACUCUGAGGGAGGAGGACAUCUGGCUGAGUGGACGGACUGGGCAACAAGGCCCGGCGCGUAGAGGGACCACCGGUGGUGGCGGGUGCAGUGUCGGGUGUCCUUCCUCGCUGCUCCCCCUUCAUGCGGUGGACCCUUGGCCCACCCUCUCUCCCGUCCUCGGGAAAUGAAAGAACGAACGUGGCACUGGGGGCCCAGCGUGGCUCUGCGGGAGCCUUGGAAGCAGUCGGUCUUGGGUGUAGAAGGAGAACGAAGACGUCACGUCAGUGGUCUGACAAGCUGGAAUUGUGGUGGCUGAGUGCUUGGCUCAGAGCAGAGGAGCAGCAGAGGCACGAUAAAGCCUGACGGCUGUGGCCCUAAUUCUCUGUGAAGCCCCAUUUCAUCAGGACUUGUUUUUUCCUUUUCAUUGUUCAAGUCAAGUGAACGUUUAUCAAGCCCUCGUUAACCGGGGCCUGGUUAAGAGAUGCCCGUCUUCUGUCUCUCUGUGUACAAUUCUUGCCCCUCUGUUCAUCCUCAAGUGGGUACUUUGUCGGCCUCACCAGUCUUUUACGGUUGUUCAGGCUCCUAUGAUGGAAUGAUAGGCUUGUUCAGAGGCCCAGAAUCUUCACAGAAGGUUGUGGUUAGCAGAGUGAUGGUCACAGCUAAUGGAGGAUCUGCCUCAUUUUCUGAAAACAAAACAGAACAAAAAAAACCAAAGCCCUGAGCCGGACUUGCCUCCUGUGAAGACUGACGCUCAUCUGGGGCUUCAGGCACGGGCUCUUUGGAAUAAGCAGCAGUGCUGUCUUCAUAAUCUUCCCUCCAAAAGUCCUCUGUGUGAAGUGAAUCAUAAUUGGCUGUGGCCUCAGGGACUCCUUCCGCAGAGCCAAGGGUGUUUAAUCCCACCUCAGUGAUAAACCAGAGGGUGCCUGCUCUCUGUAUACCAGCCAGUGGUUGUUUCUGCAUCUUUAGUGAAGCCUUGGUCAGUGGUCAACCUGAUGAAUGAGACAGAACUGUCUUAAGAUAUACUCAGUGUGCUCAGGUUCAAGGACAAAACGUCUGUCCUUGCCUAGUAUCUCUUUAUUACCUCACUCUCAGUAGCAUGUGACACAGAGGGCCAGCCUUUGAGGGGCCUGUUGUAUAGAAAUCUUUUGGUAACGACUUGGCCCUUAAAGAUGGUGCUUCGAGCAAAUAUAUAAGCCAAAAUGAGGAACUUUUCCUGUAAUUGAGAGGGCCUGGAAGGAAGAAGUGAGUAUUGCUGUACAGAUGGUACAGAACCAGAAACUUUGGAAACGUGUGACGAUCCCUAGGACGAGGAAGACAAGUCCAGCCUGAGCCUGAAUUCUUCACUGACCUCCUCCGGUCAGGGGUUCCCGUCCGCUCUUCAGUGAGCAAGAGCUGGAGGCUCAGGUUAGCGCCACUGCCUCUGCUGCGUGGUGGUACAUACAGGUGUACGUAUGUGGUCAAGUCUUCAGUAUUCCAAAGGCUAGUGGCGGUUUCUCUAAACAAUCUUUUUGUCACCUUCGUAGGACGCUGAGCGAAAGAAGCUCUCCAGUUAUAGAUGCAGAGAGGUGUCCACCAGGCUGGGUGCUGUAGCUAUUACGGACCAGCUUCUGAUACUCAGUGUGGGCGAAGGAGCCAAGCAGGCCUCCGCACUGCAUCUUCUCCCAGUGCGUGGCACACAGCAGCUGCUCAGUACACAUUGGCUGCGUGAAUGAAUUUAUAUGUAGGAGGUUCUCUGAAUGUGUUUCCAUUAGUGAUGCUGGUUAUGAAAAUCAAUAAAAUGGUGUGUAAUUGUGCACAUAAAACAGCUGCAGCCAGUCGAUCAGGUAGAACUUGGUUGUGAGGCAAACAACAGUUACCACCGUUUUUCUUCCUGGCAGAGAAAUGACAGGAAUGUCCUGUGGGAGGGCUUCUCUCAGCCUCUUCUCUUGCCCUUUAUCCGCCCGCUGUGCUCCCUCCCAGUCCUGUUUGGUCAUUAUGUUUGUGCUGUUGUUGAGAAGAGUAUUCAGAAGUAUCCCAAUUAAUGCGAACAUUUGGGCAGGGUAUUAGGUUCCUGUGUGCCGGGACCGAAGCAAUGGGGCAGCAACACUCUCCGUGCAUUUCACCCUGGUGAACCACAGAGUGAGUUUAGCCCAUGGCAAUUAGCAAGGGCUCUGUGGUCUGAAUAUUUGUAUCCCGCCCUCCACCCACCCCUCCUAAUCCCCAAAGGUGAUGGUGUUAGGAGGUGGCGGAGUGUGUGUGUGUGUGUGUGUGUGUGUGUGUGUGUGUGUGUGUGUGUGUGAUUAGAUUAGGAGGCUGGAGCUCUCAUGAAUGGGGUUGGUGUUUUAGGAAAGAGAUCCCCCGAAGUCCCGAAGUCCCUCCUGCCGUGUGAGGAAACCAGGAGAAGCCUGCAACCUGUGCUUUUACUUGACUGUGCCGCCACCCUGAUGGGACUUGCAGCCUCUGGAACCAUAAGCAAUAAUUUCCUGUUGCCUGUAAGCUUCCCAUCUGUGGUAUUUUGUUAUAGCAGCCUGUAUGGACCAAGACCAAGGGUCCUUAACUUGGGAGUCCUAACACACAUUGAAUGUGCACAUGAGUAUGUUUUUCUGGAGAGAGGUCCUGUAGCUUGUAUUGCCUGUUUAUUCAUUUAAUGAUAUUUGCUAUUUUACCUAUUAAGAGCCUGCUGUGUAACCUCAGGCUCCAGGUUAGAUGCUGGUAAUCGAAACCCCCUGUCGCUUAUAGGCCGAUGGUGGAGACUAACAUCAAUCCAAAAAAUCACACAAAUGACUGUACAAUUGCUGCAGCAAAAAGCGCUGUCAUGGCUCUACGAGAAGAUCCGGUGGGGAAAAUUAGCGGUUAAAGGGGCUUGAGAGGCUUCCUUGAGAAAGUGGGUCAUCCAUUCAGCAAGUAUCUCAUGCUAUGUGCCAGGCACUCUUCUUACCCCGGCGAUUCAGCAGUGAGGAGACAGAGCUUCUGCACUCAGAGCUCACGUUCUGAUGGGGAAGACAGGCGUGGGCAUCUACUGUGUGCGGAAGAAAGGUUGCUGCUUACCGAGAUGGGGAAGAUUGUGGGUGGAGCAUUUUGGGGGAGUUUUCUUUUGGACGAGGAGGUGUCAAGCCUGGGAUUCAGGGGAGAUGCUCAGGCUGGGACUGUAAAGUGGGGAGACAUCGGUUAAAGGGCGCAGGAGUCACUGAGAUCAUUCAGAGAGUGAAUAUAGAUAGAGAAGAGGUGGGGGGACUUAGCCCUGGGAGCUUUUAUAUUUAGUGGCACCAGAAAGAGGGCCGAGGGGUUGGUCAGGGAAGGAGGAGGAGAAGACAAGCUCAGAAAAAAAAGUGAAGAGGGAGAGAGGGAUGCGACACGUCCGGUGUUGCCGAUCAGGUGAGUUAAGCUGGGGACUGAGAUGACCAUUCAUUGGCUUUGGCUAUGUCUUCAGAGCAGUUUCGAAGGAGUGACAGGGGUGAGAGCCUACUGGGAAUGGGUUCAGGAGAGAAAGGGAGGAGGGAGUUAGGGAAGCAGGGCAGCACUGGAGGGGAUGGGGGCUGGUGAAGGGAGACUCCUCUGAGCCUGGCCAUCAUCCAUUUCUUCCUUUAAGAAGAACAAGUUGGAGUUCCCGUCGUGGCGCAGUGGAAACAAAUCUGACUAGCAUCCAUGAGGACGCAGGUUCAAUCCCUGGUCUUGUUCAGUGGGUUAAGGAUCCGGCGUUGCUAUGAACUGUGGUGUAGGUCACAGAUGUGGCUGGGAUCUGGUGUUGCUGUGGCUGUGGCGUAGGCCGGCAGCUACAGCUCUGAUUAGACCCCUAGUCUGGGAACCCC